GGUCGAUACAGUGGGACAGAGUGGCGAGGAUCCCAGCUGUGGUGGCCUUGAAUGUGAUGGCUUCACCCUUAAAGUCUAUGCCAUUGAUUCCCUUGGGACUCAAGGACUGGAACACUGCACAAAGGGUUAGAAACUCUCCGUCAGUCCGGGUGUUGGGGAAGUCAUCUUCAUCGUCCUCCACAACUGAAAAAGGAAAAAAGUAAAGAUUCAGAGGAAGAAGAAACACGGAAACACCAAACAGCUCAUCCUUGGACACGGCAUCUGAACAGCUGUCAAAGUAUUUCUGAAGCGUGUCCACCUGCCUGCACAAAAUGUCUCUGAAGGUCUCCAUCUCCGCCAGCUUCUCUCGCAGGCUGUGGCCCUUCUGAAGAAACAAUAAGGCAACAGAGAGCUUGGACCUCAGAAUAGAUGGUCGGUGACAGCAGAGGCGGAAGGUUGGCGGCUACUGGCAGAGAAGAGAAACAAGAGAUAUGCAACAUCCAAUCCAGUAAAGUGUCAUCAAGUUUCUUCGUAAUGAAGGUGGCUGUGAG